AGAGUUUGAUCCUGGCUCAGGAUGAACGCUAGCUACAGGCUUAACACAUGCAAGUCGAGGGGAAACGAUAUUGGAAGCUUGCUUUUGAUGGGCGUCGACCGGCGUACGGGUGAGUAACGCGUAUCCAACCUGCCCACCACUUGGGGAUAACCUUGCGAAAGUAAGACUAAUACCCAAUGACGUCUCUAGAAGACAUCUGAAAGAGAUUAAAGAUUUAUCGGUGAUGGAUGGGGAUGCGUCUGAUUAGCUUGUUGGCGGGGUAACGGCCCACCAAGGCAACGAUCAGUAGGGGUUCUGAGAGGAAGGUCCCCCACAUUGGAACUGAGACACGGUCCAAACUCCUACGGGAGGGAGCA
rnacentral:rRNA from 1 species